rnacentral:rRNA from 1 species
GAGUUUGAUCUUGGCUCAGAUUGAACGCUGGCGGCAGGCCUAACACAUGCAAGUCGAGCGGUAGAGAGAAGCUUGCUUCUCUUGAGAGCGGCGGACGGGUGAGUAAUGCCUAGGAAUCUGCCUGGUAGUGGGGGAUAACGCUCGGAAACGGACGCUAAUACCGCAUACGUCCUACGGGAGAAAGCAGGGGACCUUCGGGCCUUGCGCUAUCAGAUGAGCCUAGGUCGGAUUAGCUAGGUGGUGAGGUAAUGGCUCACCAAGGCGACGAUCCGUAACUGGUCUGAGAGGAUGAUCAGUCACACUGGAACUGAGACACGGUCCAGACUCCUACGGGAGGCAGCAGUGGGGAAUAUUGGACAAUGGGCGAAAGCCUGAUCCAGCCAUGCCGCGUGUGUGAAGAAGGUCUUCGGAUUGUAAAGCACUUUAAGUUGGGAGGAAGGGCAGUAAAUUAAUACUUUGCUGUUUUGACGUUACCGACAGAAUAAGCACCGGCUAACUCUGUGCCAGCCG